GGUUAAGCGACUAAGCGUACACGGUGGAUGCCCUGGCAGUCAGAGGCGAUGAAGGACGUGCUAAUCUGCGAAAAGCGCCGGCGAGGUGAUAUGAACCUUUGACCCGGCGAUGUCCGAAUGGGGAAACCCAGUGCAAUCCGUUGCACUAUCGUUAACUGAAUACAUAGGUUAACGAGGCGAACCGGGGGAACUGAAACAUCUAAGUACCCCGAGGAAAAGAAAUCAACCGAGAUUCCCCCAGUAGCGGCGAGCGAACGGGGAGCAGCCCGGAGUCUGAAUCAGCUUGUGUGUUAGUGGAACGGUCUGGAAAGUCCGACGGUACAGGGUGAUAGUCCCGUACACGAAAGCACACUUGCUGUGAACUCGAAGAGUAGGGCGGGACACGUGGUAUCCUGUCUGAAUAUGGGGGGACCAUCCUCCAAGGCUAAAUACUCCUGACUGACCGAUAGUGAACCAGUACCGUGAGGGAAAGGCGAAAAGAACCCCGGCGAGGGGAGUGAAAAAGAACCUGAAACCGUGUACGUACAAGCAGUGGGAGCCUCUUUAUGGGGUGACUGCGUACCUUUUGUAUAAUGGGUCAGCGACUUAUAUUCUGUAGCAAGGUUAACCGUAUAGGGGAGCCGAAGGGAAACCGAGUCUUAACUGGGCGUUAAGUUGCAGGGUAUAGACCCGAAACCCGGUGAUCUAGCCAUGGGCAGGUUGAAGGUUGGGUAACACUAACUGGAGGACCGAACCGACUAAUGUUGAAAAAUUAGCGGAUGACCUGUGGCUGGGGGUGAAAGGCCAAUCAAACCGGGAGAUAGCUGGUUCUCCCCGAAAGCUAUUUAGGUAGCGCCUCGUGAACUCAUCUUCGGGGGUAGAGCACUGUUUCGGCUAGGGGGCCAUCCCGGCUUACCAACCCGAUGCAAACUACGAAUACCGAAGAAUGUUAUCACGGGAGACACACGGCGGGUGCUAACGUCCGUCGUGAAGAGGGAAACAACCCAGACCGCCAGCUAAGGUCCCAAAGUCAUGGUUAAGUGGGAAACGAUGUGGGAAGGCACAGACAGCCAGGAUGUUGGCUUAGAAGCAGCCAUCAUUUAAAGAAAGCGUAAUAGCUCACUGGUCGAGUCGGCCUGCGCGGAAGAUGUAACGGGGCUAAACCAUGCACCGAAGCUGCGGCAGCGACGCUUAUGCGUUGUUGGGUAGGGGAGCGUUCUGUAAGCCGUUGAAGGUGUCCUGUGAGGGGUGCUGGAGGUAUCAGAAGUGCGAAUGCUGACAUAAGUAACGAUAAAGCGGGUGAAAAGCCCGCUCGCCGGAAGACCAAGGGUUCCUGUCCAACGUUAAUCGGGGCAGGGUGAGUCGACCCCUAAGGCGAGGCCGAAAGGCGUAGUCGAUGGGAAACAGGUUAAUAUUCCUGUACUUGGUGUUACUGCGAAGGGGGGACGGAGAAGGCUAUGUCAGCCGGGCGACGGUUGUCCCGGUUUAAGCAUGUAGGCGGAGGUUCCAGGUAAAUCCGGUACCUUGUUAACGCUGAGGUGUGAUGACGAGGCACUACGGUGCUGAAGUGAUAAAUGCCCUGCUUCCAGGAAAAGCCUCUAAGCAUCAGGUAACACGAAAUCGUACCCCAAACCGACACAGGUGGUCAGGUAGAGAAUACCAAGGCGCUUGAGAGAACUCGGGUGAAGGAACUAGGCAAAAUGGUGCCGUAACUUCGGGAGAAGGCACGCUGAUAUGUAGGUGAAGUCCCUGCGGACGGAGCUGAAAUCAGUCGAAGAUACCAGCUGGCUGCAACUGUUUAUUAAAAACACAGCACUGUGCAAACACGAAAGUGGACGUAUACGGUGUGACGCCUGCCCGGUGCCGGAAGGUUAAUUGAUGGGGUUAGCGGCAACGCGAAGCUCUUGAUCGAAGCCCCGGUAAACGGCGGCCGUAACUAUAACGGUCCUAAGGUAGCGAAAUUCCUUGUCGGGUAAGUUCCGACCUGCACGAAUGGCGUAAUGAUGGCCAGGCUGUCUCCACCCGAGACUCAGUGAAAUUGAACUCGCUGUGAAGAUGCAGUGUACCCGCGGCAAGACGGAAAGACCCCGUGAACCUUUACUAUAGCUUGACACUGAACACUGGUCCUUGAUGUGUAGGAUAGGUGGGAGGCUUUGAAGCGUGGACGCCAGUCUGCGUGGAGCCAACCUUGAAAUACCACCCUUUAAUGGCUGGUGUUCUAACGUAGACCCGUAAUCCGGGUUGCGGACAGUGUCUGGUGGGUAGUUUGACUGGGGCGGUCUCCUCCCAAAGAGUAACGGAGGAGCACGAAGGUUGGCUAAUCCUGGUCGGACAUCAGGAGGUUAGUGCAAUGGCAUAAGCCAGCUUGACUGCGAGCGUGACGGCGCGAGCAGGUGCGAAAGCAGGUCAUAGUGAUCCGGUGGUUCUGAAUGGAAGGGCCAUCGCUCAACGGAUAAAAGGUACUCCGGGGAUAACAGGCUGAUACCGCCCAAGAGUUCAUAUCGACGGCGGUGUUUGGCACCUCGAUGUCGGCUCAUCACAUCCUGGGGCUGAAGUAGGUCCCAAGGGUAUGGCUGUUCGCCAUUUAAAGUGGUACGCGAGCUGGGUUUAGAACGUCGUGAGACAGUUCGGUCCCUAUCUGCCGUGGGCGCUGGAGAAUUGAGGGGGGCUGCUCCUAGUACGAGAGGACCGGAGUGGACGCAUCACUGGUGUUCGGGUUGUCAUGCCAAUGGCACUGCCCGGUAGCUAAAUGCGGAAGAGAUAAGUGCUGAAAGCAUCUAAGCACGAAACUUGCCCCGAGAUGAGUUCUCCCUGAGACCUUGAGUCUCCUGAAGGAACGUUGAAGACUACGACGUUGAUAGGUCGGGUGUGUAAGCGCAGCGAUGCGUUGAGCUAACCGAUACUAAUGAACCGUGAGGCUUAACCUU
rnacentral:rRNA from 2 species